AGCGAACGUUUGCGGCGGGCUUAACACAUGCAAGUCGAACGGGCUGUUCCUUCGGGGGCAGUCAGUGGCGCACGGGUGCGUAACACGUAGGUAAUCAACCCUCUGGUUGGGGAUAACACUUCGAAAGGAGUGCUAAUACCCGGUACGGCGCAGCGGUCUUCGGAUCGCGGCGAGAAAGACCCGCAAGGGUUGCCAGAGGACGAGCCUGCGGCCCAUCAGCUAGUUGGCGAGGUAACGGCUCACCAAGGCGAAGACGGGUAGCUGGUCUGAGAGGAUGAUCAGCCACACUGGAACUGAGACACGGUCCAGACUCCUACGGGAGGCAGCAGUGGGGAAUAUUGCGCAAUGGGCGAAAGCCUGACGCAGCCACGCCGCGUGAGCGAUGAAGGCC
rnacentral:rRNA from 1 species